rnacentral:rRNA from 1 species
GUAGGAGUACCCGCUGAACUUAAGCAUAUCAAUAAGCGGAGGA